GUGGGGAAUAUUGGACAAUGGGCGCAAGCCUGAUCCAGCCAUGCCGCGUGGGUGAAGAAGGCCUUCGGGUUGUAAAGCCCUUUUGUCCGGAAAGAAAAGCACUGGAUUAAUACUUCGGUGUUCUGACGGUACCGGAAGAAUAAGCACCGGCUAACUUCGUGCCAGCAGCCGCGGUAAUACGAAGGGUGCAAGCGUUACUCGGAAUUACUGGGCGUAAAGCGUGCGUAGGUGGUUCGUUAAGUCUGAUGUGAAAGCCCUGGGCUCAACCUGGGAAUUGCAUUGGAUACUGGCGGGCUAGAGUGCGGUAGAGGAUGGCGGAAUUCCCGGUGUAGCAGUGAAAUGCGUAGAGAUCGGGAGGAACAUCUGUGGCGAAGGCGGCCAUCUGGACCAGCACUGACACUGAGGCACGAAAGCGUGGGGAGCAAACAGGAUUAGAUACCCCGGUAGUCC
rnacentral:rRNA from 1 species